CUUCCCUGCUGCCCCAUGGCCUCAUCGGACCAGAAGUACUGGGCCCAAAGUGCCCGCGGGCGAGUGUGCACGUGCCCAACGACCCUUUUAAAGGGCAGCCACCCGAGGGGACAUCUGUAAACUCCUUACGACGGAACGUUGAUAGAAAAGUGAGGAAAUAUCUCAAAGAAGAGUGCCCACUGCCUUCACAACUGCUACACUAUCAUUAUGCACACAUUAUACUCAGUGGGUGCCCAAGAUGUCUCUCUGCAUGUGCAACUGUCGUGAGAAAGAGCGUGCGCACUGAUUUUCAAAAAGGAGAGGAUUUGUGUCAUCUGCAACUCUGAUGGGAACUCCCUGCAUCUCUCACCUAAGUCACUGAUAAACCUGUGGAAGGAUCCUGGGCCCAGUUGGAUGGGGAGCCACUGAGGAGCACCCUCGGAGUCUGGCUUUCCACACAGUUCUGAAUCCACCUCACCGUCUUAUCAUCUAGCCAGCAUUUGACCAGUUUGCUAACUCAAAUAUUAUGGGGGACUCUCAUACUAAAACCAAAAUAUAUUAUAGGUAACUCUUCUAUUAUAACCAAAAUAUUAUGGAAAAUUCUUAUAUUAUAACCAAACUAGUAUGAGGAA